CGCCAUGCCGCUCCCGGCAGCCAACGGGCGGGAGAGGGCUGCGCGGCAGCGGCGGGGCGAGCAGCGGAGCUUUAAAAUUGCUUGCUUGAUGCCUGUCUCUUGCUGUUCAGUGACUGGGGCCCCUCAUGUGUGCAGUCAGUGCUGGAGCUUCUUUCCUGCAUCAGAACUCCCAGGCCAGCACUGCUAUGCCAUAUUAAAUGACAUCUUCUUGCAUGAAAAGAAAGGUGUAAAAUGGAAUGGAGAUCCUUAUCCGAGUAAGAACAGGUGAACAAAAUAAAACCGUGGUAGUAAAGCAGAGGUUCCCAAACUUACUGUACUGGAGUUUGGUCCCUGCUAUGGAUGAUGGGGGACUGUUGGUACCAGUGGUGUUAAUUUUUCUAUCCUAUGUUCCUCAACCUGUGAAACAUUCCUGAAGGCAGGACCCAGCUCUGUGCUUCCUGCCUUGCUUACUAGUUUAUCACCCCUACUUCACUCCAUCCUGUUCUUGUAAACCACCAUCUACUUGUGUACAGCAAGCCCAGUUCCAAAAUUACUCUCAGAACAGUACCUGCUUACAAAAUGUUUAAUGUUAAAGUGUGAUGAUGUUUACAGGCUUAGCUGGGAGGUAUUGCGAUACACCACGGUUAGAAACAAAGUGUGGCAAAUAGCUGGUCUUACAAAUACUUCUUCAGAGAAGUAAUGCCCUCAAAGGCAGUUGAAUGCAUUUCAUUAAGGAUUACAUGUGAUUAGCGGUCUGUAAGGUCAAGAGUACGACCUGUCAUUAAUGAGUAUUCAUAUAUUAAUACUGCUUUGAGCAGGAAGUUCAACUAGGUGGCAUCUGAGGUCAGUUGCAAUGAUGAUUUUAUGAUUAUCAGACUUGUAUUGUGGAAAUAGAUAUUUCAUUCAUAAAACGACAUAUUAAUUAAAUAAGCUAAGCCCUUGCCAAUUGUUGCAAUUAAUUUUACUUAUUCUGUCAUAUUGUAGCACGGAGAUACAAAUUUGACCCAGAUUUUAAAAUUUAAAACAGUAAAAAAAAAAAAAAAAGCCUUUUUGUGUAUUUCAUUGAAUUCCUUGUACAUAGUUUUAUAUUCUCUGCAUACAAUUGAUUUCGUUAUGGUUCUGGAACUAGUGAGAGUAUAGUACUGGCAAAUGCAAUGCUUUUAUUUGCAGCUGAACUGCAUGUCUCCUCAUACAGUGCUCAAGUUGACUCUGACUAUUUCAGGUACUGCUGGCGCUGAGGCUGUUGUACAAAGCCAUCGGUGCAGGUCAGCAGUGUAAGAAAGAAAGGUUUGAGGCCCCAAAUACUUCCAAAGCGAGAACUCUGCAUGUGAGAAGGAAUUCUUAUAUUUGAAAAAAACAAACAACCAACACGCCGUGAGAUUAUACUGUGUACAUUCUGAAUAUACAUAGAUGUUGCCACAGCUGGUUGAAUUUAAUAAACAGUACGUGCUGAACGAGUUUCAAGAUGAACGCUUUUUCUUUAUUUAAGAAAUUGUGUUUUGACUAACAGUAGUGUGAUCCUUCUCAUUAAGAUGUAUGGGGAACUCAUACACAUUUCCUUCCUGUGUUUGGAUAGAAUGUAUACCUAUUGAUACCUCUUUAACUGUUUCCAUUUAGUAUGGUAAAUUAAUUAUUUUAAUCAUAGAAUCGUUAAGGUUGAAAAAGACCACUAAGAUCAUCCAGUCCAACUGUUGACCUGUCACUGUUGACCAUGCCCACCAAACCACAUCCCUCAGUGCCACAUCCACCCUUUAUCUAAAAAGUUGGUGAUGAGUGAGGAAGUCUCAAAAUGACUCACUGCAAAAAGCCAAAUGGCUUUCUCAUGAAUGUGACUGGAAAUAUUUUUAUGCAACAGUUGGCCCUUCCAAAUGUAUUAGAUAUCCACAUGUGAUUGUUGUCCUCUCUUAUUGCUGUGUAUUUCAGGGAAGUACUUUGUUGCUUGUAUGUUUUUAUUAAAAAAGGUCUAAGGUAUCAGCUGAUGUAAGGAGUGUAUUAAGGACUUGACAGACCUCCUGGACUGUAGCGACUAUAGGGACUAAUUGCUUUCUGCAUUUAAAAGGAUUAAAAGGUGCUAGGAAGGAGCUGAGUGAUUUCUUUACCUUACUCUUUGCCACAAAGAAUGUUGUGAACUGUUCUUUUCAGACAAUGUAGAUGGGACGUUAUCUGAUUAUCAAAUUAGAGAAUCAAAAGAUCGAAUGCUCAUAUGAAUUGGUCACGACCCCUAAGUCGCGAGGACCAGAUGUGAUACCUCCUGUGGUUCUAGACGAUGAAGUGGCUGAGCUGCCCAGAAGAAUGCCUCUGGUUAGGAAGUGAUGCUGUGCCAGAAGACUGGGAGUUGUCAAGUUGUGUAUGUGCUGCACUUCUAAACUGAGCGGAUCUGGAAUUUGGAGACCAAGAAUUCAUAUUUUAAUGUCAAGCUAAUUGAUGUAAAUACUGAAGUACUUGAAUACAGUCAAGCAGUUCUGUGAGCACACAGUCUAAUAGAGCCUAGUUUCCUACAUAGCUGUACCUUAGAGGUAACCAGCUGCAGCUGGGGUGUUUAUAAGCUGUUUCUAUUUGUCUGUAUUAGUGUUCUAAUGAUGUGGGUACAUGCUACAGCCUUUAGUCAAUUUGGGUAAUUUGUGGCUCUAUCUUUUCUAUUCACCUGCCCAGCACCUGGAAUUCUAACAUCCCUGAACACUUACUAAACUGUAAAUGCCUUUUGCAUGCUGUUUCACAUAACUGAAAUUGGGCAGUGGGCUUAGAAGUUAUGAAGGGUCAGGCAGAACCUAGGUAGGCACGUUAAACAGCAUUUGUCUCAUCUGUCUUUACCUGUCUGAACAGAUAGAUAAGCAGCAGGAAGGUCCUCUGUUUAGCACUUCUAACCAAAAUAGGGGUUCAUCAGGUUAUGCAUCAAGAGUCUACAGUAGAAGUGAUUGAUUUUGUCCUUAAAUAAGCAUCCAAAGUAAAAUACUAUAUACAUUUGGUAAAACUAGAGAAAGUUAUGAGGAACUUGAGGACAGUCUUCUAAAGAAAGAUGUAUCAGCAUAAUAAAGGUAGAUGUCAUUCAGUAUUUGCAGAUACAAAAUGACUCUCAGUGGAAGGAAGAACUGAACUACUUGAAGAGAUUUCUAAAUUACGAGUAAAUGUUGCAAAAAUACACAUAAGUGCCUAAGUGAAAAUAUCUUUAAGAAGUGCUCACUGUGAAAGAAGCAGCUUUAAAAUGUAUUUUGAUGAUGCUCCUUAGUAGCUUUAAACGAAAGUUCCUUACCUAGCCAUCUCUGCUAAAAUGAACUGUCCAUCUGGUUUCAUUGCAAAAGCCAUUGAUGCUUACUUUACCAAUCAGUGUGUUUACCUAUACUCUGUGUGUUUUUAAAUGCUGUUGAUAAAUAACAAGUUCCUGACAAAUAAGUAAAGUCUUUGCAGCUUACAUAAUUAAAAUAGUGCUGCUGUAUUUCUUGCUUUCGGUUUAUUUUCUUUGGGUUAUCUCUAAAUGCUCAAUAACGGCAAUACAUUCAUUCUGCCAUUUGGAGGAGCCUGUGCCACAGAAUAAUGAUGUGAAGAAAGCUGAUGUAUUUGCAAGGAAGAGUCCUCAUUUGUGCAAUAGUGUUGAUGCAGCAAAGAGGUGCCUUGCCAAGUUCAGCACAGCCUCCUGUAGUCAUAGAACAUAGAAUCAUAGAAUCACCAAGGUUGGAAAAGACCUACAAGAUCACCAAGUCCAACCGUCCACCUAUUACCAGUGGUACUUGGACGAAACUCUUUUUUUCUUGGAAGGAUAAACAGAAUGCUGCAUCCAAAGAGUAAGAAGGUAAGGCACUUGAGAUUGUUAUUUCAGGAAGCAGUUAAAAGUAAUUUCAAUAACUUGUAAUGAAUGCAAAUAUGCAAAAAUACUUGACUUGUUAUGCAUCGUGAAGUCUUAAAUGGUUUAUAUCAGUUUCUGACUCUUGUUUUGUUUUUUUUUAUCACAUGGGUGAAAUUUCUGAAAGUAUUCAGCUCUGCUUUCUAAAUGUGUUUUCCCUGAAAUCAGUGAGCUGACCUGAGUGGGAAUAAAGGUUGGUUUAUCUUUGGUGAGACAAAGUUAAGUCAUCACUAAGUAAUUUUGAAAUCCCAUCUUGAAAUACUGGGGCUCUGACAUUCAGUGGGAUGAGACUCUCAGAACAGACUGACUGCUGCGGACUCCCAGGCUAUGGUUCAGGUAAAUAACUUCUUUGGAGGAGGAUCUUAAAGGUUUCUUCUUUUUUAAAUUAUGAUCAUUAGGAAGCGAAGGGUGCAACUUAAACUAUAAAUAUUUUCUCCUUACAUUUAAAAUAGAUUUGCCUAUACCUGCGAGAGAGUCUGCUGGUUCUGCUUGGAGCAUUAUACAAUUAUCUGAUGAUUCUGAAGUACUGUUUCUAAAGAGAUCUUCUUUACCACUGUAGAACAUGAAUCUAUUUCCACUCACAGUGAUUUUGUCUUGUUUUCCAACACGUAGCCAAGAGUGAGAUUCUGGUUCUGCUACUGCAAUUUCCAUUUUGCAAAGACAGAGAUGUCUUGGUGAUGCAUGCAUAAUUUAGAAAUAAGAGCUUCUCUAUUGGAAUAAGUGUUAGGGGCUCUGUUCAGAUCAUGGAAUUAACUCGAUUUGUUUCCUGCUCCUGCUGGUCCCCGCUUUCUACAGGGUAGCUCGGUUGUUUGAGUUCCAGCAGCCCAAUGUAGUUUGUAACCAGAGCUUUAAAGUCACCUGGUAUUGCUGCUACUUUACUUUUAUUUCCACUCUUGUAAAGUACAGUAGUGAAGCAGGUGCUGCUGCUGUGCUAGUGGAGGCAGGAACUUGGAGGGAAACAGAGUGCACAGCGGGAAUGUGAACUGUUACGAUCAUCUCCAGUCAUCAGUCCUACCCUAUCAUCCGGGGUCUUCUAUUACUCUUUGUUUUGGGGAGGGAUGGAGAGGGGUGGGGCAGAGGAGAUAUUGAAAAUGGUUCUGCAAUUGGUAGGAAGAAGAAGCAAGAAAUGGUUUUGCUGGAGAAAGCAUUUUUUAAACCUGAUGGUGUUUUUUAAGAGAACUCAUUGAAGCUUUGGGGAUUUGUGUAUGUAAGAUUUAAGAUUUCAGUUACAAACUUACUUCCUUGCUUUCUUCAAAAACAGAAAGAUGCUUUAAAAGAUAAGAAUUUUGAAAUCAAGAGUAAAAAAAGGAGAAUGUUUUAAGAAAAAGAGUUUAUAACAGACCAAAGAAAUACAUGCAUUAUCUUUCAAAAAUAUUUAACUUGAGCGAAGCUCUUGGAUCGCAAGCCUCAAGACCAAAGUAAGAGAAGUUUCUCUGAGAAAGGGGAGAGGAGGCUAAUUGUUUUCCAAAGAGAAAUGGAACAAAGGUAUUCUAUAGUACUUAUACAUCAGUGUGUCGGGCACAGAAAGAGCUAUGCACACAAGUCAUAUACGUAGCUCAGAUACUAUGCUUCUAACUUAGUGUGCUAAUGAUAGAGAAGCCGCUGGCUGUGAGGUCUGAUGUUAAGUCCUGAGAUAAGUUGCCCAAUGACUACAGUAUUGGAUACCACAUGACAGACUGUGAAGGUUUGUGUUCCCAGCAUUAUGACAUUCUUUUAAGAACAGGCCCAGAAAGGUGUCCUGAUCAAUAGCAUCCAGCUUAAAUACUCCCCUCUUGGAUCUCACUGUGUUAACAUUGUCAUGUUGAGCUGGAUGGUUUUCAGAGAAGGAGACUGUUCUGCCUUGUCUGAAGUCUGACUAUGAGAGUUUCAGGGUCUUAAAAAGAGGACAACUCAUUCCUAGUGUGCUUGCCAAGAAGAGGUAAGAAGAGGUUAUGAAGACUGCAUAGUGUCUUGAAAAAUGAGCUUCGUUAUCCUGCUAUGGAAUGAGUAAUUGUAUGUGUUAGGCAGUACAGGUUGCUGAUUGCUUGGUUUAACAAUACCCUAUGGAGUUAGUCUGAAGUACCGUGCUUCUUGCAAAAAUAGUAGAGGUUGUGGUACAGCAGAGGGAAAGAACUGGAGAGGACUAUACUAUGGGUCAGGAAGAGGAUGUUUUCUUGGGUUACAGACUAAGUUAUGGAAUGCCAUCUUCCAAGAUAGAAAUGCUGUAUUUGGCAUCAAAUGAGAACUUCGAUCAGCACUCCAGGGAGAGAUAGUCAGUGAUUUGAAUUUUAUUCUGUGCAGCACUGUAAGUGCAGUAGAGACCUGGCACUGAGAGACUCCAGGUGCCUUGAAAGACCUGCUUCAGCUGAAGACUCUCUUAUAUUCAUAGGCAAUGUAUUUCAGUUUGUAGAUGGAUUAAGUCCCAUGUGCUUUGGUUUGUUAAUGGCCAUGGUUGGAAACAUCUUUUUGCUAUGCUCUACCAGUUAUUUUAAUGACUGUUGCUGGAAUUUAUUUACUCUCUAGUUCGCUGGUGAAGAUAUUCACGAUUCUUUAAGUCAUGUCUGCCUUGACACAUACAUAUUUGUUCAUAUACAUCAAGAGAGGCUGUUCACUCCAGAGUCUGAUCUGUUUCGGCUACUGCUUUCUCUUUCACCCUCUUUUUAGAGAAACUGUCUUUCAUGGCAGUUUGCUGUGGACUAACUUCUUACUGGGCCAUUUAAUUGUGGAGACAUUUGUCAUAUAUAUUAUUACCUUCCAACGUUUUUUCCAACAAAGGCCCAUUAAUAGUAGUAUAUUAUAACCACAGGGGCACAAUAUGGGGCCAGAGGCAAUGUGAACUGAAUUUCCCAGUCAUAUUUUAUUUAGCAGAAUAUCUAUAAUAUUACAUAUAUUAUAGUAUAUAUAUUGAAGAUUAAUCUCACCUAAAUAAUAAUGAAAAAGGAACUCUGAGGAUUGGAAAGAGAAACUUGGCUGAGGGAUUUGGGGGAAAAAAGCUUUGGCAUCUAGAGGAAAAAAAAUAUACAUAUUCCUCCUUUUUUUCCAGAAGUCUAUUGGAAAUUUUUACCCAUAGUUUAAAGAAAUGUUCUGAUGUCAAAAUGAGCAGCGAAGCUGAUUUAAAAGUAGUAACUUACAGUAUCACACCCUUCAAGAUGCUUUAUCUACAGAUGAGGGAGUAAUCCUGAUUCCCGUAUUAAAAGGAGGAGUAUUUCAUGAUGAGGAGAAGACUGCGAAUAUGUGUAACCUUUCCGCUCUAAGACUGGAAGCAGUAAAGAAUGGACAUGAGUCAGAGACAGGAACAGAAUGAGCCAAAAGCCUGAGGGACCUUUGACCAUUCAGAGAACAUUCACCAGGUUUAACUAGCUGUUUUCUGUCCUAUGCUCAUUGACUGUUCCUCUCUCUUUCUGCCUCUUUACUUCUGCUUCAGUCCUGUUUACACUGUGUGCUUUUCUUCCCCCAGUCUGCCCUCCUUAGGUGAUUUUUAAAAUUUUUUGUUGAUUUUUUUUUUUUUGCUUUUUUAUUUGUUUGUUUUAAUCAGGGACUUUUAACUGUGUCCUAUAUUUAUGUGCUGUCUGACAAAACAGAACUUCAGUUUUCAUAAGUCUUCAAGUAUGAUUUAUAUUCCUUUGUCCUGGUUUUUGUAAGGAAUCACUUGUAGGCAAAUAAGUACCCUUAAUGAGAUGAGAUGAUGUGUAUGAGAUUUAAGAGAAUAAGGGAAGCUUUGCUCCUACAGAUUUUCUGUAGGUGAACUAGAGAUUUAAAAGAACAGAUGUUGAAACAUCUAUGCAUUCUUCUAUACAGAAAAAAAAAAUCUGUAACUUCAUUUUAUUGCAGUCCAACAUAUUGUGUAUGAUAAACAUUUCAGAAUGGAUAUUAUGUUGACUAUGUUUGCAUUGUACAUGCAGUUGUUGGCAGUUUUUUGGUUUGUUUUCCACAUUUCACAGCUCUUAAAUUUGCAUUCUAGAAGCCAUUUUGGUAGGUGUAGGUUGCUUGUCUGAAAUCUGUUCUGAAGCUCCAGUGCAAAGGAAGCACAGCACUAAUGAUGGAUGUGAAUGGACACCUUGAGGAUUACUGGAUAUGGCAUCUUCAGAAACAGUGGCAUUUUGCUGGCAGUUCUUAAGAUGGUUCUUAAAGACAUUUUGAGGUCCUAGGUAUGUAUACACUGUGCUAUACAGAAACCGAACUUAUUUUACAUAAACUAGUUCCAGAGCUGAGGUAACUUUUAGCAGCACGCUGCUUUUUAGUGAAAUUAUGGUUUCACAGACCUCAAGAACUCUUAACAUGCCAUUCUGAAAACUAUGAUGGUUCCCGAGUUGAUUCACAAGCAGAUUAGCUGUUAAUUGAAUGGAUAGUGUUAAUGUCUGAGAGUGGUAACAGCGUUUGUUCUGCUGUGUGUCUGUCAGAGCCGUUAGCCCCUAGCUCAGGUGCACUGUGCUAACAAGGGUACCUUGCACGUGCACCUGAGGAGAGGUGCAAAACUGCAGUGUGUAUUGGUGGGGUAGGAGCACCAGCUUGGUUGGUGGAAUCUACUUGCACCGUGCUCAUUUGCACUGCAUAACUUAAAAGAUACCGAAGGCAGCAUUAAUUAAAACAGAGUAUAUUCACUUAGAGAUAGUGAGAGAAGUAUGGAGAGUACUUGGUAGCUGGGCUCCUGAGAGGCAUGUGGACAGAGAUGAUACUCCAGAAGCCAAACAGAAGUGCAUGUGUUAAAACCACUUUAAUCUUUUCACAAAAUGUCUUAAUGUGAGCCAUCUUCUCAUCUGAAAUUAGUUUGAUAUGAGAGUGACUAACAGUAAUAUCUGUCUAUGUAAUAUCCCUUUCUGCAGCACUCAGCCUCUCAUUUUUACUUUCUAGGUGGGUGGAAGAGAUAAUCCGGUCUGCCAAGCGCUAUGCACUCAUUCCAGUGCCAAAAUUCAAAACACAAACCAGCAGCUUUAGUGUAAGGGGCAUACUAGGUUCCUCCAGCUGCACUGAACAAAUGUGUGUGCUAGGUGGAUGAGUAUAAGCUUAGAUAACUGCUUAGAUCUAUUUAUAGGUAGUUUUUUAAACUGCUGUGAUUCUAUUGUGGUAAUUUGGGAUGCAGAAGUUAGGCUGCUCACCAGUUUGCUUUGCCAAGCUGAUCCCCUACUCUGGUUCAUUGCAUGGCCCUACUUCUGCCACAGGACCUUGAUAGCCGUGGGGCCACGGGGAGUUAACACAACAUGAGUGACUGGAAGUUUCUGUUCUGAAGAACUGACUUUAGGCCUGAAUCAUUUGAACGUGAAUAUUCAGCUCGGUGAAAUACAGAGCAUCAACCAGGAGGAGGAGGCUGGUCUGCUAGAGAGGAAGGGAAGAAAGUUACAGCACCCAGUGUGAGGGAACCCUGAUCCAUGACUUGGCUACCAGGAUCGGAUGCAGGCCUCUUGUGAGGAACAGACUUCCUGGGCUACUGGAAAUAAAUGAAUGGAUGUGAAUUUAUGCAUCCCUUAUGCACAUUUAGUUCUUUCCUGUAACUGCUUGUAUGCAGUGUGUGUAUAUACAUCGCUGUGGAUCCUGUACGUGCUGCAUCUCCUGUUUCUCUGGGUAUCAGCAUCCCAUAAAUUCACAUCAUUUUCCUGCCAUGUCCAGGUUGUGUUUGCACAGAAGAAACCUUAAAGAAGUUCAGAAGCGAUUAAAGAAGUUAAACCUUUAAAACCUAAGAAGUUAAAACUUUAAGAAACCUUAAAGAAGUUAGCAGCGAUUGCACAGUAGGCCAAGUAAAUGUUUAUGCUUUUUACAGUUUUUACUUUGCACCAUAUUCUGUGUAAAGACAAGUUUUAAACUUCAAGACAGAAACUAGCCAAAAAAGAAAACAACGUUCUUGGAGACAAAAACAUGAGUGUUCCUUACUGUCAAUGUAUUUUCACAUGAUAUCAGAUAUCAAGACUGCUAUCUUCAUAUGUCCAUCAGCAUUUGUUUGCAAAUGAGUUUUUGAAUUAGGGUAAUUGUUCGGAAGGAUCUUUGACUUCCAUAAAGCACCACCCCUCCUUGACAGACAGUUGAUAUUGCAAUAGAAGAUUUGGAACUUGUUUGCCUUCUCACCAGCAAUGCCUUAAAAGAAGCAUCAGCUACAGAAGGAAAGAAGUCGGGAUGCAGUAAUCAUAACCAAGCAGCAGCACGUGGCUCAGGCACAGGUUCCAGAGCAGAAGUGAGUGGGCUCACUCACUUCUGAGAGAUAAGGUGAAAAAUAAUUAAAAUGUUCCAUCAGAAGACAUGUAAAAGUGUGUGCUGUCUGUGGAGCCUGUUCCUCAACCACGGAUGGCCCACUUGCUUAGGAAGACUGUGAGGAGAGAUCUGAGUUUUCUUGUCUGGAAGAAUUAUCAGAGGAAAAGGGUAAGAAGUCUGGAAAACACUUAGAAGAAGCCCUGGUAUAUAUUUAUUGAACAAUAAAGUUGCCCUGCUACAUGUUCAAA